rnacentral:rRNA from 1 species
CCUACGGGAGGCAGCAGUAGGGAAUAUUCGUCAAUGGGGGGAACCCUGAACGAGCAAUGCCGCGUGAGUGAAGAAGGUCUUCGGAUCGUAAAGCUCUGUUGUAAGAGAAAAACGGGUAUCAAAGGGAAUGAUGAUAUCGGGAUGGUAUCUUACCAGAAAGCCAAGGCUAACUACGUGACAGGAGCCGCGGUAAUACGUAGGUGGCAAGGUUAAUCUGGAAUGAUUGGGCUAAAAGGAUGCGUAGGGGGAAAAAUAAGUUUGAAGUAAAAGGGGUUGGCUCAACCAACGUUAGCAUUGGAAACUGUUAGGCUAGCGUGCAGGAGAGGUGAGUGGAAUUCCAUGUGUAGCGGUAAAAUGCGUAGAUAUAUGGAGGAACACCAGUGGCGAAGGCAGCUAACUGGCCUGUAACUGACGCUGAGGCACGAAAGCGUGGGGAGCAAAUAGGAUUAGAUACCCUUGUAGUC